rnacentral:tRNA from 1 species
GAAGAGGUGGCAGAGUUGGUUUAUUGCACCAGAUUGCUAAUCUGGUAUACAUAUUGAGUUAUGUAUCGUGGGGUCGUAGCCCACUCUCUUCG